CAGCAGCCGCGGGAAUACGGAGGGUGCAAGCGUUAAUCGGAAUUACUGGGCGUAAAGCGCACGCAGGCGGUUUGUUAAGUCAGAUGUGAAAUCCCCGGGCUUAACCUGGGAACUGCAUUUGAAACUGGCAAGCUAGAGUCUCGUAGAGGGGGGUAGAAUUCCAGGUGUAGCGGUGAAAUGCGUAGAGAUCUGGAGGAAUACCGGUGGCGAAGGCGGCCCCCUGGACGAAGACUGACGCUCAGGUGCGAAAGCGUGGGGAGCAAACAGGAUUAGAUACCCCGGUAGUCCCUGUCUCUUAUAC
rnacentral:rRNA from 1 species